GCCUUUCAACCGAAACAAAUCUCCAUGGUAGGCAGCAUUGUUGACUCCAAGGACCAUGUCAGCUUCUUGCUUUGCUAUAAGGUAUGUGAUAUCUGAUUCUAGUUGCUUCCCCUUUGACUCUGUUCGUUUCCCCUGCAGAAGAAAUGCUUCAGUACCGCCAAUCUUUUUGCGUCGAAAUGCUAACAUUUACUAUGAUUCUACUGCUAAAUUAGGAUGUACCUUGAGUAGGUUGCUCAGUAUCUGACGGCUAUCCUUGAGGUACAUUUGCAAGAUGCUAGUCAGGGACUGCUUGUCAAUUCUCAAGAGGCUGCAGAGUUCACUGACUCUAACUGUGUAUGGCUGUCGAGUGUUGCAGAUCACGGCGACGUCGCCGACUAUGUCGUAGGGCAGCAGCUCUGAGACGAUCUCUUCUGAUCCGCCUUCUCCGGCGGCGGCGAAC
rnacentral:lncRNA from 1 species